GAUACAAAAAGGGGGUAUUUCAGACUCGAAAUCGGAUGGGGGUUAAUAGCCCCACGUGGGUUCGAAUCCCACCCUCUCCGCCA
rnacentral:tRNA from 1 species